UACGUAGGCAGCAAGCGUUGUUCGGAGUUACUGGGCGUAAAGGGUGCGUAGGCGGCUUUUUAAGUUUGGUGUGAAAUCUCCCGGCUCAACUGGGAGGGUGCGCCGAAUACUGAGAGGCUAGAGUGUGGGAGAGGAAAGUGGAAUUCCUGGUGUAGCGGUGAAAUGCGUAGAUAUCAGGAGGAACACCGGUGGUGUAAACGGCUUUCUGGACCAUAACUGACGCUGAGUGCACGAAAGCGUGGGUAGCAAACAGG
rnacentral:rRNA from 1 species